CUCAGAUUGAACGCUGGCGGCAGGCUUAACACAUGCAAGUCGAGCGGAGAUGAGGUGCUUGCACCUUAUCUUAGCGGCGGACGGGUGAGUAAUGCUUAGGAAUCUGCCUAUUAGUGGGGGACAACAUUCCGAAAGGAAUGCUAAUACCGCAUACGUCCUACGGGAGAAAGCAGGGGAUCUUCGGACCUUGCGCUAAUAGAUGAGCCUAAGUCGGAUUAGCUAGUUGGUGGGGUAAAGGCCUACCAAGGCGACGAUCUGUAGCGGGUCUGAGAGGAUGAUCCGCCACACUGGGACUGAGACACGGCCCAGACUCCUACGGGAGGCAGCAGUGGGGAAUAUUGGACAAUGGGGGGAACCCUGAUCCACCCAUGCCGCGUGUGUGAAGAAGGCCUUAUGGUUGUAAAGCACUUUAAGCGAGGAGGAGGCUACUGAGACUAAUACUCUUGGAUAGUGGACGUUACUCGCAGAAUAAGCACCGGGUAACUCUGUGCCAGCAGCCGCGGUAAUACAGAGGGUGCGAGCGUUAAUCGGAUUUACUGGGCGUAAAGCGUGCGUAGGCGGCUUUUUAAGUCGGAUGUGAAAUCCCCGAGCUUAACUUGGGAAUUGCAUUCGAUACUGGGAAGCUAGAGUAUGGGAGAGGAUGGUAGAAUUCCAGGUGUACCGCUGCCAUGCGUAGAGAUCUGGAGGAAUACCGAUGGCGAAGGCAGCCAUCUGGCCUAAUACUGACGCUGAGGUACGAAAGCAUGGGGAGCAAACAGGAUUAGAACCCCUGGUAGUC
rnacentral:rRNA from 1 species